GAGUUUGAUCCUGGCUCAGAGCGAACGCUGGCGGCAGGCCUAAUACAUGCAAGUCGAACGGCUCUUCGGAGCAGUGGCGGACGGGUGAGUAACGCGUGGGAACGUGCCCUUUGGUUCGGAACAACACAGGGAAACUUGUGCUAAUACCGAAUGUGCCCUUCGGGGGAAAGAUUUAUCGCCAUUGGAGCGGCCCGCGUUGGGUUAGCUAGUUGGUGGGGUAAAGGCCCACCAAGGCGACGAUCCAUAGCUGGUCUGAGAGGAUGAUCAGCCACACUGGGACUGAGACACGGCCCAGACUCCUACGGGAGGCAGCAGUAGGGAAUCUUGCGCAAUGGGCGAAAGCCUGACGCAGCCAUGCCGCGUGAAUGAUGAAGGUCUUAGGAUUGUAAAAUUCUUUCACCGGGGAAGAUAAUGACGGUACCCGGAGAAGAAGCCCCGGCUAACUUCGUGCCAACAGCCGCCGCAGUAAG
rnacentral:rRNA from 1 species